rfam:Mustela putorius furo unplaced genomic scaffold scaffold00052, whole genome shotgun sequence.
UCGGUGAAGCCGGGAAAGCCUUUAGGGGAACACCCAGAGCUUGCACGCGUUCUGACCGGAGAAUCCUGGAGCCCAGUAUGGAGGCUGAGAGGUGAGGAGGAUUCCAAG